UUUUUUCUCAUUCAUCUCCUCAAAUGGUUGAUCUUCCUUCUUUCCUUUUUGUCAUUUCUCAAUCAAACACACAAAAAAAGGCUCUUUCUUUUAGCUGAGUUGGGUUGAUUGCGUAGAAAGAAAAAUGGAAAAGGUAAGAGAUUUGAAGGAAAGGUAACAUUUGUGAUAGCUUCCACUAAGGAAAUUGGCCAUGCUAUUGCACAUAGACUUGGCUUGAGAGUGAAUCUGUUGUCAUCUCUUCUAGCAAGCAGGUUCAAUUUUCUGUUUCCAAGCUCUUUUCUGAUGGAGUUGAUGAUAAAGUCUUCAUCUUUUUCAAUUUGGUAUAUAAAAAAAAGCAUUUUUAUGUAUUUGGGUCACAAAUGGUUUUUUUUUCUUCUAUUUUCAUUUGUAUUUGACUCCUUUUAUGAAGAAGAGAAUGUUCUCUCUGAUCUUUUUAUUAUUAAAAUUUAACGUUAAAUAGAAAGCUGUUCUAUAUAUCUACUCGUAAAAACUUUAUAUAGAAAAAAAAGAGGAAAAAAAAAAACAAAAAUAUUUUAUAGAAGCUACAGAUAACUUGAAGAACCUUACUUUUAAAUUUUUAUAUGUGUUUCUUAAAAAUUAUUUUAAUUUUUACAUAAGUUCAUUUCAGUGUACCAGAAAGUAUUUUUAAUUUUUCGAUGUUUUCUUUCAAAAAUUUUACGGAGAAAUUUAUUUAAACAUGCCCUAAUGAUAGUUGGUAUAAGAAUCAUGUUCGAAUAAAAUCAUUAUAAUGCUUUUCUGGUAAAUAUGCUUGAAUAAAAAAAUUAUGCAAAGUUUUGGAAACUUAAUGUAAAUUUUUUGAUUAUUUAAAAUUAUACAAUUUUAAGUUUUUCAAAAAAUAAAAUUUAAAAUUCCUUCUACUCUAUUUUUUUAUCUUUGAAUCUAUCAUGAUUCUCUACUUAAAGUAUUUUCCGACAAACUUUUCUAUAAGAAAAUUUAAGAAGAAAAAAAUAAUUAAUUUGUUUAUAAAUUAAAAAAUAUAAGUUAAUUUGCAUAAGUUUUUUUCUAUAAUUUUUAUAACAUUUUAUUUUUAAAUUUAUGAAUAAACUAAUAUUAAGUUAGUAAUAAUUUUACCCUAUUUUUUCCCAUUCAGAAGUAAUUAAAAAAAAGAGUCAAUCAUGUACAUAAUAUCUAGCAAAUAUGGAAUUAAACUCCUAAUCAGGUUGAACUUUUUUUUGUAUUAAUAAUAUCAUACACCAAGCUCAUAACAUUAAUUUAAUUUGUUAGGAGAUUUUAAAAUUUAAAAUUUCAUUUGCCACUAAGAGUUUGAAAGCGUUUAACAUAGUUUUGGCUAUUUUUUUUGGAGAGAUCUAUUUUUCCUCUCAAGGACUACAUUUUGUCGUAGUGUCGUAGGAGUUGAAAAUUGUGCUUAAUGCUAUAGUUUGCGCAAAAGUUUUCGAAAAUCUUAUUUUCAAAUUCUCUUCCAUGGUCACUUCGGAUAAAUAUAAUUUUCAAAUUCUUUCCAAUCUCCAUCCUUUUGCAGAGUUUGUAAAAAGCGUUAAAAGCAUCAUCCUUAUGAGUUAGAAAUAGGACCCAAGUUCAACUAGAAAAAUCAUCUACUACUACUAAUCCACAACAUUUACCGCUCAUAAACUGAGUUCUUGUAGGUCUAAAUAAAUCUAAUGAAGCAGCUCAAGAGGUCGUUUAGUUGAAAUGGUGUUUUUACUUUUAAAAGAUUUUUUUGACUUGCUUGCCCUUCAUGCAAGCACUACAAAAGAUUGUAUCGUUGAAUGAUACUUUUGGCAGCCUUCUAACGAGGUCAUAACGUUGCAACUUUGAGAUUAAUCUCAUGCUUGCGUGUCUACAUUUAUUAUGCCAUGCCACUGCCUCAUAUUUCAUAGAUACUAGACAUGAAAUACUUUGAGACUGUAAUUCAUCUAUGUUUAUUUUAUACAAGUUACCUUGCUUGUUAGCUGUAAAUACUAAAGAGUAUUUACACCUACAAGAGAAUGUUAAUUAUUUAAUAACUCCUAAAUUUAAGUUUAAUCCUACACACAAGUACUGACUAGGACAAACAUUACAUGGUUCAACAAUUGAAACUAUUUUAGAAAAAAGAAAUAUACUAAAUGAGCAAAGUCAAUACAUGAUUCAAUAGACUAAAACACAAUAAUGUAAAUAAUUGGUUAAACCCAUUCGGAGGUCCCUAUUUUCGUGUUUUUGUCCCAAUUUCGUCCCCUUCUUAAAAUUUGUACCAAUUAAGUCCCUAAGAUUGAAAAAUUGAAAGAAAUUAACCUCUAUCGUUAAAUGAAGUUAACGGGGUUAAGUUCCAGGUUAGGUGUUAGGGUGAGGUGCCUUUUAUUUGUUACGUGGCAUGCAAAGAAGCUUUGAGCUGGCUUUUAUUUGUCAUGUGGCUUUUAUUAGUGAAUUUAAACAAAACAUUAAAAAAUUGGGAUUUUUGUUACCCAUUUUAAAAGCUUCGAUUAGAUUUGGAAACAUGGUUUAGGGUUCGCUGUUCUUCAAAAUCGAGAUUGGAAAGCAAUUCAAGGUUGGAAAGAGGGAAGUACGAAACGAAGACGCAAGCAUGUCGAUGCAACAUUCUUGUUCAUGGUCCACUUGCAAUGAUUGUCGGAAGCAAUUCCGGUCUAUGACCUCUCGUGGAGAUGGAGGCUGGAAUAGGAAUGAGGGGUCACCGAUUUGUCAUUGUGGAGAGAAGUCUAUGCUUAGGACUGCGAAGACCACUAAGAAUCAAGGCAAACAAUUUUGGAGUUGCCCUAGGUAUAAGGGUAGAGGUGAAAAUGCUGGAUGCAACUAUUUCAAAUGGUGGAGUGAUUCGGGAACUCAAGAAAGUGUUAGUUGUGAGCUGUUGGAAACAAAUGAUGUGAGGCUGAUGAAGAAUUUUGAAAAUGAUGAGAGGUUGAUGAAGACUGUUGAAAACGAAAGGGAUAACAAUGUAGUUGCUGUGCAGAACAUUGUUAUCACUCUUGAAAAGUGGAUGAAAAUUUUGAUUGAGGUUGUUUGUAUUCUAUGCGUAAUCAACAUGAUUGCAGUGACAAUGUUGAUGGGAAGGGCAUGAUAAUCUUCAUAAUCUCUGUCUAAGUAGUGUAGGUGUAAUGUAGGGCAUCCAAGAAUGUAAUAGUUACAGAUGUUAUUUUGGUUGCAAUGUAGUUUUGUUGUGUUUCUUGCAAAUGUAAUAGUUGUAGAUGUAGUUUCUAGCAUUGUUCUUUUAAUGAUAAUAGGUUGUUCUUUUAACUUGGCUGAUGUUCUUGUCUUUUUAAUAUGGCAUUCACAAGUGGUAUGUUCCAAUCAAAUGUGUCAUUGACAACUAAAAGGUUGCAAUGUAAUCAAUCAAAUUGCAUCAUCCAGAUGGCAAUGAAAUCAAAUUGUGUCAUUCAUACAAGUAAUAUAUUCCAAUCAAAAGCGAUCAAAUUGUAACAUCCAGUGAGCAAUGAAAUCAAAUUCUGUCAUUGAUACAACUAAUAUAUUCCAAUCAAAAACUUUCAAAUUGUAUCAUCCAGAUGGCAAUGAAAUCUGGCUUUCAUAUUACAAAAUAGUAGACAUCUAGAUAUUCAUACAAGUAGGAAUAUUUAUAAUAAUGAAAUGUAAAGCAUUGUUUCCAAAAGACUGUUGUAAAAACAGAUGUUCCUAUCUAUUACAUUUCCUUUCAGAAAUAAAAAAACAUUGUUUGAUGUGCUGCACCCUAAGCUAGUGAAGUGGGUGCUUCUCCCUAUGUUUGCAAAACAUCUUAUGAAGUGGGUGCUUCUCCUUGUGACUGCAAAACAACUUGUUCGUCUGCUUUUGGACAAUGUUUUUUGUUGUGACCCACUUCCUGACACUUGCUACAUCUCUUAAGCAAUCCUCCUUUGGUCAUCCUGGUGCUAUCUUUCUUCAACUCCCACUGCUCUGACCUCCUCUUCUUCUUUGGACGACCAGGCAACUUCCUUUUUGAUGGAGGCAUGACAUAUUCAUAUUGGGUUACCUUCCACAUGUUGUUUCCGUUAAUUGGAUAAAUGAUGGAGGAGUAUAUUUGUUGAUAUUUUGAAGUGUGAAAGCAUGCAGGUAUGUAGUCCUCUUCAUUGAGGUUGAGAAAUCUCAUUGUUGUCAAGGCAUGAACACAGGGUAUUCCACUGAGGCUCCAUUUUCUGCAUGAGCAUGAAGAUUCAUCUAUGUUCACCACGUACUUGUCCCUAAUGUGAGACACAUGUCUAACUUCAAAUAACUUUUCUACAAACUAGUUGUCAACAUGAGGCAACAUUAGUAAUGCAUAGUAGGGCCUUAAAUGACUUAAAUGGCUAGUACUGUGUUAAAUGACUUAUAUCACUUUACCUGGGAAUCCAGUACUGUGUUAGUAGGGCCUCCUUUUACAGUAUACUCAGUAUUUUUAGACAAAUGACUGACUUAAAUGAAUUUACCCUUGACCUAUUAGUGGCCCAUCUCUUCAUGAUAUAGAGUCUGAUUUCCUUCAACAUUGUAAUAAUAGGUUUUGUCCUCGUGUGAACCAAAACGCUAUUAAACGCUUCUAACAUGUUAUUGACCAAGGUAUCACAUUGAGUUGUGGUUGUGAACCUUGAUCUGGACCAAAACCUUCAAUGUAAAAAUAAGUCAUACAAUUACUAUUUAAUUUCAUCAGUAUCAAGAAAUGAAAAGUGGGACAUUGGAAUACCUUGGAGCAAUUGCUAUCAAGUGACGAAAUGCAUCUUCGUUUACUUCUCUUAUACUUCGCAUUUCAACCUCCCAUUUCUGCGGGUGUGUUGCCAGUGCUGCCUUCCACAUCAUCUUCUUAAGAUUCUUUUCAGGGAAUUUCUUCUUGAAAUUGGCAUAUAAAUGCCUUACACAAUAUGUGUGUGCAAUUCCAUGAAGUAGAUCGUCUACAGCGUGUAAUAGACCCUGUGAAUGAGACAUCAAUAAGUGAGGUGAUUUCAAUAAUGCAAUUUAUAUCAAGUACCGCGUGAUAUACUUGUUAUACUUGCUUUGGUUCAUUGUUCUGCCUGCAUAAGAAUCCUACACUCUUCAUUCUCAAUGACCAUCAAACAUCGUCAUCACCCUUACGAAAGUUGUACCGCCCCGAUAGCCCACUUUCUUUGCUCUAAGUUGAUCCAUGACUCCAUCUUUGCACGACCCCAAAAUCAAUAAAUUGUGAGUUAGUAUAUCAUCCUUAACCCCAUUCCUCACCAUGUCUUCGUAAACCUUCCCACCCAUUUCACUGUCUCCAACCCGAACACAUCAACACCAUGGCACGCUGCUGACUCAAACCGCCCAAAUCCAAAAUCACCCAAAACAGUCCCCCAAUACGCCCCAUCUGCUUCAAUACGCACAAAAUCACAUAACCAAUAACCAAAAACAAAGAAUAACCAAAAACAAAGAACAGUUGCCAGCACCCAUACACAGAGCAAAACUCAGAAACCAUUUUCUUUAUUCUAUUAUUAUUUAUUCAUCUGCAUUAAGAGUGGCCUAGAUAAUGUUGCUCCCAAUGACGCCAUUGGGGAUGGCGCGAACAUAGGGCGAGAGGGUUUCUCGCUAGCGGUGUGGGGGUGAGAUGAAGAGGGAGUCUCCGAGCGAUUCAAGAGGGCGUGAGUCGCUGUGGAGGGCAUUGUCCCUACCGAUGUAAGCUUGCAGCGACUGACUUUGAGAGUGGUGGCGGCGACUUCCAAUUUCGUUGGUGAUGAGUCGAUAUUUUAUACCAUUAACUUAGUUUUUCGCUCCGAAUUGUGUUGAUGAUUUGCGCUUAAUUCUUAGUUAUUGUGUCAUUUUCACCAUUUGGGCCUAAUUAGACCAAUAAUUCAUAUUUUAAUUAAUUUGAAUUAUUUGAGCUUAAUUAUUCCUAUUUCUAUUUUCAGGGCAAAUUUUGGAACUAUACUUUGGGACUUUUGGAAGGGCACCAAGCAAAUUGAAGAAUUUCCANAAGG
rnacentral:lncRNA from 1 species